rnacentral:ncRNA from 1 species
CAUCGCGAUGCUCUUCAAUCAUGGAGAGAUCGUGAUGAGGAUACUGUCAAAGCGCCAGCUAAAGGAGAUGGUUCUGUACUCGCCCCAACACGUGGCCCGACUGGAGAAAGCCGGGAAGUUCCCCAAGCGGAUACAACUCGGCCCGAACAGAGUGGGAUGGGUUGAGGCCGAAGUGCUGGACUGGCUUCAACAACGGCUGGACGACCGCGAAGAGCCCAAACGACACUCCUGAUACAGGAGCGGGGUGGCCGGGCUUGCACGG